GUUGUCUGAAUGGGUAUAAAGACAAUGUUGGUGAUUUACUGCCCCCUGGAGGGUGUUGUCUGAACAGGUAUAAUAACAAGGUUGGUGAUUUACUGGCACUUGCAGUUAUGUAAUGUUAGUAUAGUAUAAUUCAUUAGCUGAUCAGUCCUACUGACCUGGAUGGAAUUCUGCAAUCUUUUCCUGACCGAUGGCAAGUACCAGCCACUUCUUGACUACUUCAAAAUGGUGGAAGUCCUCAAUGGCUCGCUCUGCCCAUGCUUAAACCGGCUUUGUGGCACAAGAGCCGUCUAUCCUAGUCUAUGGUGUUGAGGGUGCUACUGCGCUCACCUUUAGAGCUUCAACAUGAGAGCACCUUUAACUAUGCUAGGCUGAUAGAGAUCUUCAACAUGGCUAGGCUGAUAGAGAUCUUCAACAUGGCUAGGCUGAUAGAGAUCUUCAACAUGGCUAGGCUGAUAGAGAUCUUCAACAUGGCUAGGCUGAUAGAGAUCUUCAACAUGGCUAGGCGCUGAUAGAGAUCUUCAACAUGGCUAGGCGCUGAUAGAGAUCAACAUGGCUAGGCGCUGAUAGAGAUCUUCAACAUGGCUAGGCUGAUAUAACAGAGUUAGAUUACCAAAGUUAAUGAUGCCUUCUUGAACUAUAAUGUGUUUAAACUAUAGCAAUACAGUAGGAUUUUCUUACUAGUAGAAGUCUUGAAUGAUGAAUGAACAAUCCAUGAGUAAUCCACGCGGAGAUUGAAGCCGUGUUUUAUAGUUGUAAGUGGAAAGGUUGAUAUUUGGAUAUGAACUCAGACGGCUGAGUAUGUUGCUCAGAGGGUAGUGGAUAUGAACUCAGAUGGCUGAGUAUGUUGCUCAGAGGGUAGUGGAUAUGAACUCAGACAGCUGAGUAUGUUGCUCAGAGGGUAGUGGAUACGAACUCAGACAGCCACGUAGGUUGCUCAGAGGGUAGUGGAUAUGAACUCAGACAACUGAGUAUGUUGCUCAGAGGGUAGUGGAUAUGAACUCAGACAGCUGAGUAUGUUGCUCAGAGGGUAGUGGAUAUGAACUCAGACGGCUGAGUAGGUUGCUCAGAGGGUAGUGGAUAUGAACUCAGACAGCCACGUAGGUUGCUCAGAGGGUAGUGGAUAUGAACUCAGACAGCUGAGUAGGUUGCUCAGAGGGUAGUGGAUAUGAACUCAGACAGCUGAGUAGGUUGCUCAGAGGGUAGUGGAUAUGAACUCAGACAACUGAGUAUGUUGCUCAGAAGGUAGUGGAUAUGAACUCAGACAGCUGAGUAGGUUGCUCAGAGGGUAGUGGAUAUGAACUCAGACAGCCACGUAGGUUGCUCAGAGGGUAGUCCAGAUUUAUGUUUGUUAUGCGACAGCCUUACCUGUGAAUGACUGACUAGGGCUGCAAAAUUCAGCCAACUUUCUCUAAUUUCCCACAUAUUCCAUAAAUCAGUGUUAGAAGGUUCACGGAAUCAAACGGGAAUAAGCAAGAAAUCCAACAUUCCAAAUGGGAAUUCUGGAAAUCCAACAUUCCAAAUAGGAAUUCUGGAAAUCCAAUGAUUAAAAAAACAUUUUUAAGUUACCGGAGUUUUUCAAACCUGUGAAUGUGGUUUAGAAUCUCAGGGUUUUUAACCCCUACAAGAUGAGUGUUUAACAUAUUGUAUAUGGUGGCACAAGUGUAACAGAGGUUAUUUGGCUCGGAUAAACCAGUGGUUCACCACCAAGUGAUGUACUCCAUGCUCUGCCCUCUACCCCCUCAUGAGUCUCCUCAAGUAGCCCCUGUGGAUUGGCCAAUUACCCCCAAGGGUUCUAGUACCACUGGUUGUGAACCACUGGGCUUACUAUACUUGCAUGGUGAAUAACUUUGCCUGAGAUCUGAAGACUCGCGUUAGCACCCUAGGGUAAUGCCUUGGCUUUAACUCAGCGGGCUAACAGUCUCUGAAGGCGCUCAAUGGCCUGGGUAUUGUGGGUUUGAAUACCUGGUUGAUCAUUCUCACCCCUAUGUUUUGGGUGUUUGUUGGUUCGUUCUGUGAUGACAGGCUUGGGGCUUAAAUAUCAACACAUUCCCUAUAUAGGGCCCUACUUUUUUCCCCCAGUUAAAAGUAAGGGCAUACUACUUAGUCGUAGGAGCCAGUCAAAAGUAGGAUACUAUAUAGGGAAUAGAGUGCCAUUUAUGGACGCACUCCAAUACUGUCACACCUAUAUUGAUGAUAUUGUCGCUUAUAUCCUGUUGGGUGAAGCUUUGUGCCUUACUCUGAGACCACAGUGUGGUCUGACCUUAUUAAAGAUGUCUCUGUGUAGCUGGGACCUCAGUGUGGUCUGAUCUUAUUAAAGAUGUCUCUGUGUAGCUGGGACCUCAGUGUGGUCUGACCUUAUUAAAUAUGUCUCUGUGUAGCUGGGACCUCAGUGUGGUCUGAUCUUAUUAAAGAUGUCUCUGUGUAGCUGGGACCUCAGUGUGGUCUGACCUUAUUAAAGAUGUCUCUGUGUAGCUGGGACCUCAGUGUGGUCUGAUCUUAUUAAAGAUGUCUCUGUGUAGCUGGGACCUCAGUGUGGUCUGAUCUUAUUAAAGAUGUCUCUGUGUAGCUGGGACCUCAGUGUGGUCUGAUCUUAUUAAAGAUGUCUCUGUGUAGCUGGGACCUCAGUGUGGUCUGACCUUAUUAAAUAUGUCUCUGUGUAGCUGGGACCUCAGUGUGGUCUGAUCUUAUUAAAGAUGUCUCUGUGUAGCUGGGACCUCAGUGUGGUCUGACCUUAUUAAAUAUGUCUCUGUGUAGCUGGGACCUCAGUGUGGUCUGAUCUUAUUAAAGAUGUCUCUGUGUAGCUGGGACCUCAGUGUGGUCUGAUCUUAUUAAAGAUGUCUCUGUGUAGCUGGGACCUCAGUGUGGUCUGAUCUUAUUAAAGAUGUCUCUGUGUAGCUGGGACCUCAGUGUGGUCUGAUCUUAUUAAAGAUGUCUCUGUAGCUGGGACCUCCGUGUGGUCUGAUCUUAUUAAAGAUGUCUCUGUGUAGCUGGGACCUCAGUGUGGUCUGAUCUUAUUAAAGAUGUCUCUGUGUAGCUGGGACCUCAGUGUGGUCUGAUCUUAUUAAAGAUGUCUCUGUGUAGCUGGGACCUCAGUGUGGUCUGAUCUUAUUAAAGAUGUCUCUGUGUAGCUGGGACCUCAGUGUGGUCUGACCUUAUUAAAGAUGUCUCUGUGUAGCUGGGACCUCAGUGUGGUCUGACCUUAUUAAAGAUGUCUCUGUGUAGCUGGGACCUCAGUGUGGUCUGAUCUUAUUAAAGAUGUCUCUGUGUAGCUGGGACCUCAGUGUGGUCUGACCUUAUUAAAUAUGUCUCUGUGUAGCUGGGACCUCAGUGUGGUCUGAUCUUAUUAAAGAUGUCUCUGUGUAGCUGGGACCUCAGUGUGGUCUGAUCUUAUUAAAGAUGUCUCUGUGUAGCUGGGACCUCAGUGUGGUCUGAUCUUAUUAAAGAUGUCUCUGUGUAGCUGGGACCUCAGUGUGGUCUGAUCUUAUUAAAGAUGUCUCUGUGUAGCUGGGACCUCAGUGUGGUCUGAUCUUAUUAAAGAUGUCUCUGUGUAGCUGGGACCUCAGUGUGGUCUGAUCUUAUUAAAGAUGUCUCUGUGUAGCUGGGACCUCAGUGUGGUCUGAUCUUAUUAAAGAUGUCUCUGUAGCUGGGACCUCCGUGUGGUCUGAUCUUAUUAAAGAUGUCUCUGUGUAGCUGGGACCUCAGUGUGGUCUGAUCUUAUUAAAGAUGUCUCUGUGUAGCUGGGACCUCAGUGUGGUCUGAUCUUAUUAAAGAUGUCUCUGUGUAGCUGGGACCUCAGUGUGGUCUGACCUUAUUAAAGAUGUCUCUGUGUAGCUGGGACCUCAGUGUGGUCUGACCUUAUUAAAGAUGUCUCUGUGUAGCUGGGACCUCAGUGUGGUCUGACCUUAUUAAAGAUGUCUCUGUGUAGCUGGGACCUCAGUGUGGUCUGAUCUUAUUAAAGAUGUCUCUUUCUACUGCUCAGGUACCGGUAAUACACCUCAGCCCAUUCAGUUCUAGCCAAUGAUAUAGCGUCAACGCCAAACAAACUAAUAUUUAGCCCCAACUACCCUCCUCCCUAGGUCCUAGGCAAAGUUAGUAGAUCUGAAAGAGUUGGAUGGACGCGAGUAGCAACACAAUAUGGUAAAUAGCACCUCCACCUUGUCCUCUGAUGAGGCUAGGUGAAAUAUUCACCAUGUUUAUACCUAUCCAAUCCUUACAGAUUUACCAAGUGCCCAGAGCUAGGUGCUAAGUGGAAGAGAGGAAUAAUAUCAGUUGGCUGCUCAGUUCAGCUCAGUACUUUUGCCAUCCAGGAGUAUAAAAAGUUACCAAUUCUGUUUCAAGAGACAAUUGGAACGUCCGUUUAUUUCCAGGAUUGACUGAAUUGAAAUGGAACCGAGCCCAACCCUGAAAGAUUGACUGAAUUGAAAUGGAACCGAGCCCAACCAUGAAAGAAUGACUGAAUUGAAAUGGAACCGAGCCCAACCCUGAAAGAUUGACUGAAUUGAAAUGGAACCGAGCCCAACCAUGAAAGAAUGACUGAAUUGAAAUGGAACCGAGCCCAACCAUGAAAGAAUGACUGAAUUGAAAUGGAACUGAGCCCAACCAUGAAAGAAUGACUGAAUUGAAAUGGAACUGAGCCCAACCCUGAAAGUAACCUUGUUCUGUGAUGAGGGAUGACAUAUGAUUACUUCAAGGAAACGUGUUUUAUGUUACAAAAUACAUGUAAGGGUUGAUUCACUUGCUCUGGGUUCUUACUUUUUCCCUAUAUGGUACUAGUAAUAAUAUAGGAUGUAAUAAAAUAGAAUGUUGAGUGUGUUUAUAAUGGGAGUGGAUACCUACGUGUGACUGUUACUGCUUGUUGCUCAGGGGGUAGAAUGUAUGAAGCAAUAUCAUUUGAAACAUUUCUCUUAAACUCAGUGUGGAUAGGGGUGUGUCUUGUUUCUGUGAAUCAGGAAGUCACAGAGAUGGACACCCAAUGAGAUGUCAUGUUGUUGCUUUGUGUAGCCCACUCACAAGCUUCUGUACUAAAAUAUACACAUUUCGUUUUUUCCCAUUUAAAUAUGUGUUUCAUCUUGGGAUGCCUCUUCCUGUAUCUAAUAAGUCAUGUUGGGUUAAAUGUGUCUGACCCAACUGUCCUCAAUAAAACUGACUUGGUGAAAGA